GAUUGCUGAAUGCUUCUCCACCUAUGAUUCCCCCCCUCCUGAUUUCCUGGAGAUAAAAUGGGGUUGUCCUCCCUCUGUUCUUUGCCAUUCACCUUCCUAUUCACCUUCUUAUAUUAGAAAAGGUGUGUGACAAGCAUCCCACCUUGCAUGGUUGUUGGAGAGAUUCCUCAUUUAACAACAUUGCAUCAGGGUAUGGAUAAUGACCAAAAUAACUUCUAUAAACUCACAGCUGGCUUACCAGCCAAAACUAUGUCAAUAAUACAAUCCUAUGCAUGUAUUUUUGGAUGCAUGUCUUCACUGGCCUGGUUCACACAUAACACUAAGCCAUGGUUUAUUCUCCAAAAUUCAAACUGUUCUCAAGGCUUGACUGAUCAUGCUAAUGCUUUCAACUCUGCCUGGCAACAGUCUCUUUUCUUACCCCUGAAAUUAUGUACAGAAAGUGCUUUCCAGCUUUGACUCAUUGUGUGCUGCAAGGGUAAAGGAGUUUUAAAGAUCCUGUGGGAAAACAAUUAAUUGGGGGAGACUGCAGGAAAUGCAGAUGCGAGCUUUGGUGGGGUGGGGUGGGAAUCACAGUUCUGAGAAAAAUGUGGAAAAGAAAACAAACAGUUUGUGAAAAGUGGAGAUGGAGGGGAGACAGGAAAGACUGCUUCUAUUCAGCAUGGUCUAACUUCCAGUGUAGCACAGUGCACACAAGGAGUUAAUGCUCUUUCUGUAUGGUUUCUCCUUUAAUAGGGGGCAGUGCAGGAAAGAGGGAUCAUGACUGGCUUGGUAGUUGUUAGUGAUCAAUAGCAAGCAGGCUGUUGAAGUGGGACAUACUGUAUGGUGAAGCAUUAUUGCCAGUGCAAGGACUCCAUUGUGUGAAGGUACCGUACUUUGCUCAAACCUCCACCAUAGUUUAAAACCACAAUUUCCCUCUCAGUUAUCUCAUUUCUGCCUUACUCAAACACCAACUGCUAUUUUAAACUACCACUUUUUGCAUCAGUGCCGCUCCUUCCUCAUUCCCAUACCAUGGCUGCUGCUGUUAUGCAAACCUGCCUUCACUUUUGCUCUCCUAUCUUGCCCUGACUUCAUGCAAAUCCAGGAUUGUGAUGCAGCACUACAAUCCUCCAAUGGGGGCUACAUGAUUAUAACCUUCCAUUUUUAUGUAUAUAGGAAAAUAUGAUGUGUAAGUAUAUAUUACAAGUGAUAGUCUCCAACUGAAGUAAGCUAAGCUGUAUUAGAACACAGCCAACUACCCGAACCCUGCCCUAGCACUGGAACAAAUGUCAAAUUCAGCUAUUAACCAGCAAAAGUUCACUUGAAAACCAAUCACAUGGUUAUCAAUAAGACUGUAUCUGACUCAGGAUGCUCACCUAUGUGAACUGCAACAUCUCUCUUUACACAAAUGUCAGAAAACCACAAAAAACAAACCUUUAUAGACACCCUAAAAUGCGCUGCUGUAGCCUAUGCACUCAGAAACAAUAGUACAAAGGAUUACAAUCCUACUUGGAAAUAAGUACCACUAACUUGGAAGUUAGUGGCCUUUGCUUUCAAGUAAUAGAGCUAAAAUCUAUUAUAGCAGCCACCAAGCAUCUACAGCAACAAAUGUUUUAUGCAAGAUAGAGCAGUGCAUGGGUUAAUGUUAUUUCAUCAUCUUGUUUUUUAUUUUAGAAAGGGACUACUGUAUAACUGUAUUUCAGGCCGAGACCACAGUGCUGUUGGUACAGCGACAGGUACCUUACAAGGUCCAGCUGCACUCCCCGGCAUUUUCAGCGUAUUGAAAAAGAGAGAGGAUAUUAUAGCAGGAGAUGGGGAAAGACCUCUGCCUGAGACCCAUCUGCAGUCGUUACAGACCACACUGGGCUCGUCUUGAACAGACAGGCAGCUAUGGAUAUUUUGUUGUGGAAAGUCCUGGGAUUCCGAUUGGUUGAAGGGCGGCGCGUAAAUCAGUUAAAAUAACACGGAACAUAAACCAAGUAGGACGUGUCGCCGGAAGCGGUGCCUGGCGCCCGAGACCCAACCUGCACCAUCUCCUUUUUCCUCCUCUCCCUUCGGCCUGUACAAACCUUGCGAACACCUGAACGAAGGAGAAGCCGCGACGGAGCUACCUAGUGGCCACAAGACGCAAAGCCAGUAGGAGACGCCUCCGCUUCGACUCUGCGCCCGCGAGCUCCAGCCGGCGGCCUCGUUUCCCCCUAUUUCGAACCCAAC